rnacentral:rRNA from 1 species
UACGAAGGGGGCUAGCGUUGUUCGGAAUUACUGGGCGUAAAGGGCGCGUAGGCGGUGUGUCAAGUCAGGCGUGAAAGCCCCGGGCUCAACCUGGGAACCGCGCUUGAGACUGGCACGCUCGAGUCCGGGAGAGGUGAGUGGAACUCCGAGUGUAGAGGUGAAAUUCGUAGAUAUUCGGAAGAACACCAGUGGCGAAGGCGGCUCACUGGCCCGGUACUGACGCUGAGGUGCGAAAGCGUGGGGAGCAAACAGG